CGCCUGUUUAUCAAAAACAUCGCCUCCUGACAUCCCAAUAUAGGAGGUCCAGCCUGCCCAGUGACAAUAGUUUAACGGCCGCGGUAUUUUGACCGUGCAAAGGUAGCGCAAUCACUCGUCCUUUAAAUAGGGACCUGUAUGAAUGGCCAAACGAGGGCUUAACUGUCUCCCCCAUCAAGUCAGUGAAAUUGAUCUAUCCGUGCAGAAGCGGAUAUAAUAAUACAAGACGAGAAGACCCUUUGGAGCUUAAGGUACAAGAUUUAAUUUACAUCAAGCAAACCAAUAAAAGUGAUUAAGCUAGUAAAAGAUAAACCUCUACCUUCGGUUGGGGCGACCACGGAGUAAAAAACAACCUCCAAGCGGAACGGGCACAGCCCUAAAACCAAGAGAAACAUCUCUAAGCCUCAGAACACCUGACCAAAGACGAUCCGGCCUAUAAGCCGAUCAACGAACCAAGUUACCCUAGGGAUAACAGCGCAAUCCUCUCUAAGAGUCCAUAUCGACGAGGGGGUUUACGACCUCGAUGUUGGAUCAGGACAUCCUAAUGGUGCAGCCGCUAUUAAGGGUUCGUUUGUUCAACGAUUAAUAGUCCUACGUGAUCUGAGUUCAGACCRG
rnacentral:rRNA from 1 species